UACGGGGGGGGCAAGCGUUGUUCGGAAUUACUGGGCGUAAAGGGCUCGUAGGCGGCCAACUAAGUCAGACGUGAAAUCCCUCGGCUUAACCGGGGAACUGCGUCUGAUACUGGAUGGCUUGAAUCCGGGAGAGGGAUGCGGAAUUCCAGGUGUAGCGGUGAAAUGCGUAGAUAUCUGGAGGAACACCGGUGGCGAAGGCGGCAUCCUGGACCGGCAUUGACGCUGAUGCGCGAAAGCCAGGGGAGCGAACGGG
rnacentral:rRNA from 1 species